rnacentral:ncRNA from 1 species
CUAAAGGCGUUGAAAAGGAAAGUACGUAAGAGGUAGUUUGAUAGAGAGCUUCUGAUGGUGGAAAUGAAGCAGAUGAACCUUACCGAAAAUGACCUUGGAGCUGCGUACCGAACCAAUUGGUGUAGGCUGCGACGAGAAAGGCACUCGUUACAACAGCGGCAGUAUGAACACGUACUGACAGAGGCAAAUAGUGUGAGCUAUUUGUGAAUUUAGGUGGUAACACGAAACUAUUCGUCCUAAUC